rnacentral:tRNA from 1 species
AUUAAGAUGGCAGAUCAGUGCAUAAGGUUUAAGUUCUUAUUAGGGAAUAUUUAAUUAUUCUUCUUAAUA